GAUGAACGCUGGCGGCGUGCCUAAUACAUGCAAGUCGAGCGAACAGACGAGGAGCUUGCUCCUCUGAAGUUAGCGGCGGACGGGUGAGUAACACGUGGCUAACCUACCUAUAAGACUGGGAUAACUUCGGGAAACCGGAGCUAAUACCGGAUAAUAUAUUGAACCGCAUGGUUCAAUAGUGAAAGCCGGUUUUGCUGUCACUUAUAGAUGGAUCCGCGCCGCAUUAGCUAGUUGGUAAGGUAACGGCUUACCAAGGCAACGAUGCGUAGCCGACCUGAGAGGGUGAUCGGCCACACUGGAACUGAGACACGGUCCAGACUCCUACGGGAGGCAGCAGUAGGGAAUCUUCCGCAAUGGGCGAAAGCUUGACGGAGCAACGCCGCGUGAGUGAUGAAGGUCUUCGGAUCGUAAAACUCUGUUAUUAGGGAAGAACAAAUGUGUAAGUAACUAUGCACGUCUUGACGGUACCUAAUCAGAAAGCCACGGCUAACUACGUG
rnacentral:rRNA from 1 species